UACGGGGGGGGUAAGCGUUGUUCGGAAUUACUGGGCGUAAAGGGCUCGUAGGCGGCCAACUAAGUCGGACGUGAAAUCCCUCAGCUUAACUGGGGAACUGCGUCCGAUACUGGAUGGCUUGGAUUUGGGAGAGGGAUGCGGAAUUCCAGGUGUAGCGGUGAAAUGCGUAGAUAUCUGGAGGAACACCGGUGGCGAAGGCGGCAUCCUGGACCGGUAUUGACGCUGAGGAGCGAAAGCCAGGGGAGCAAACGGG
rnacentral:rRNA from 1 species